AGGAACAAAUAUGACGUCGUUCUCAAAUUAGAACAAAGAACUAGAAACCCCCAAAUCAAUACUCGUUCUUUCUUCUUAAAACCCUAACUUCCAAAUCUGAUUUCAACUCUUUUCUCUGCAAUCGAUGAGAUGGAAUAAGCUUUCAACAUAGGUAGAGAACCUGCGCCUCGAUGUCCACCGCUUGUUGUUCGUGAUGAAAUAGGGUCUAUUGCAAUUAAAGGUGAUGAUGGAGAUAUCACGGUUUGGAAUUUAGACUACCACUGAUGUUGUUUCUUUUUGUUGUGGAUUGGGUAAGGUAGAACUUAUGUUGUAGUCACUUUGAUGUCGUUGGAUUCUUUCUUUUAUGCAAUUUUAUGUAUGUUUUUGAUUAGUCUCUAAUUCUUC
rnacentral:lncRNA from 1 species